UUUAUGGAGAGUUUGAUCCUGGCUCAGGAUGAACGCUGGCGGCGUGCCUAAUACAUGCAAGUCGAGCGAACGGACGAGAAGCUUGCUUCUCUGAUGUUAGCGGCGGACGGGUGAGUAACACGUGGAUAACCUACCUAUAAGACUGGGAUAACUUCGGGAAACCGGAGCUAAUACCGGAUAAUAUUUUGAACCGCA
rnacentral:rRNA from 1 species